AACAGCCAUGCCACCCUGAACGUGCCCAAUCUUGUCUGAUCUCAGAAGCUAUGCAGGGUUGGGCCUGGUUAGUACUCGGAUGGGAGACCACCUACAAAUACCACUCCCGCACUCC
rnacentral:rRNA from 1 species